CAAUUUGGGCUUCUUCCAGAGCUGAAAACCAAUUACAAAUAUGAAACAGAUUUCACUACUGGACUUGAAUGCUAUAUGAAAAAACAAUAAGAUCUUCAAAACAAUUGGAAAAGAUCCUCACCAAAGAAUAGAUGGAAUGUGAAUGGCAAGAUAUCAAAGAGGUUUUGGUAUUAGGUCUGACCCGUAACAAACCCUGAAACGUUGGUGGAGUGAAUAAAGAAUCUCAGUUGAUACAUCAUGGGAACUAUACUGCGACCCAGCAAUGCAGUGUGUGUGACUCCCAGUGCCAUUCCAAGAAAAAAAAAAUAAAGGCACUUUCAACAAGUGGACAAAACUGCUUCAAUCAAUAGAUUUUUGCUUUUCUCUCUCCUGGAAUAAUUGCUGUUUUUUGCUUCCUUGCCAUUUCAUCAUAUUCCUUGAGAUGGUGGUAAGGUAGUGAGCUCUAAGCAUGUGGCAAGCAUUAAGUGCAUUGAAAUGGAGAUGCAUCUUUGAGAUAAAUAGCCCAGGAGCUGAGUUCCGUGGAGGAGCUGAGAAGUUGAGUUCUGGAGCAGGACCCAAACAAGUGCACAGUUGAGGUCUUGCCUCCAAAUGGACAUGUAACUCACCUAUCAAGAUGUAUCAGAAAUGAAAUUUCAGAAAAUAUUGUCACAGCUAAGGCUGCAUAUAAACUCUGUGUCUUGUGACUCCAAAGCAGUGGCACUUAAGGUGGGAAAGUCUGGAAGAUUGGAAUGGCCCCUUUUAAUACUGUCCCACAGCUGUCAAUACCAGUACUCUGCUUUCUCCUGGCUCCAGGAAGUGUCUAACUUUUGCCUAACAACACAAUAAAGAGAAGAGCCCAAGGACUUGAGAGAAGGCUUAGAAUGUGAUGAUGGAGGCAUAGCUCUCCUAAGGGAGAUGAAGGGACUUUCUCAUCCCUGGUUCACUUGAAUGUGCAGCGUCCAGUGAAAGUGACAAGAGAGGAUGGUGUUUGUGAAAUGUACACAUGCAGUGACAUCCUCACCUUUCCAACACUGAUGCCACUGUAGAUGUGUUGCCAGCCCUCUCUACACUCUCCACACAGCAUGAUCUACUGUGGCGGGCCCUUUACCGAAUUUUUAACCCUUGAAGAUGCUAAGAUGGAAUUACACAUAUGGUACGAACAGAAUGAAUGGAAGCAAGUGAGUGCAAAGAGACACAUACAUUUAACCUCAGGAAGAUGGACAAAUAGGCCUUUCUUAAAUUGGCAUAGAACUAUUGGAUUGUUCUUUAUGUGAUUAUUCCUUCUUCAUUUUAGUGAAAUAUUUCAGUUUGGGGAAAUACCUUUCCUUGCUAAUAAGAUAUAAGAAGAGAACACUUCAAAUAUUUGCAGCUCUUCCUCUAGAAUUUUGUGCUAAUUUUGUCUCUCUCCCUCCUCUUGGUAUUUCUUUCUAUGCAAAUCAUUCUUUUAUAUAUCUUCCAAUGUAUUUUUCAUGAAGAAAACAUAGUAGAAAACCAAAGAUAAGCAGAACUUUUCAAGGCAGAGCUUCACCUUUCUCCAUGAAGUGCUUCCAGACUUUUUUUUUUUAAAGAUUUUAUUUAUUUAUUUGACAGAGAGAGACAGCCAGCGAGAGAGGGAACACAAACAGGGGGAGUGGGAGAGGAAGAAGCAGGCUCCUAGCAGAGAAGCCUGAUGUGGGGCUCCAUCCCAGAACACCAGGAUCACACCCUGAGCCGAAGGCAGACGCUUAACGACUGGCCACCCAGGCGCCCCGCUUCCACACUUCUUUAGAUGUAAUGCUCUUGAAGGCAAGAAACAUGUUGAUUUUAUCUUUGUUGGUGUCUGGCACAUAUUAGGUACACAGUGAAUUAUCUGACUAUCAAUUAAUGAGUAAACAAGAAUGGAUGAAGAAAGUAGAUGUUUUUGUAAGGCUCUCAAAGAUGAUUUAUAGAACAUUUUGGAAAUGGGCCCACUUUGUUUCCAAAGGAGAUUUUACUUUCAAAUUAAAAAAAAAAUUUAGCCAAAUGAGAUUUUGGGGGAUUUCAUGUGAUUAACUCUUUACAUUAUCUCGUAGUAAUUAUACAGAAAUCUCUAUUUAUGUAAACAUGGUGAAUGCAUCAUAACACUAGAAUAAGUGUACAAAUACUGCAUGUCAAAUUAGGUUAUAAUCACUUUCAAGGGACGUGAUUUCCUAGUUAAACAGAUUCGUUUACAUCUUGCGAAAUAAAAAAUAAGUGAAAAUAACUAUAUAAAAUCAGGCUUACAGCUGGACAGAUCUUCUUGGCAAUGGUCCAGGCACUGAGCGGGGAAAGCCCCUCCAGCUGAGGGAUUCUCAGGAUGCCCAAGAUGACGGCAGGCUCGGCCUAGAGAGGGGCCUUCAGCUGCCGUCCUGACUGCUCUGGGUCCCUGGCUAUCUGCGGGGAGAUGGGCUGUCUUCACAUUUCAGGUGAGA